rnacentral:rRNA from 1 species
GACAAACGCUGGCGGCGUGCUUAACACAUGCAAGUCGAACGGGUUACCUUCGGGUAGCUAGUGGCGGACGGGUGAGUAACACGUAGUUGACCUGCCCUAUCGUGGGGAAUAACGUCUCGAAAGAGGUGCUAAUACCGCAUAAGUUCACACAUGUUGGUGUGUGAGGAAAGCUCGGUUUAUACCUGGCGCGAUAGGAGGGGACUGCGGCGGAUUAGCUAGAUGGUGGGGUAAUGGCCACCAUGGCGACGAUCCGUAGCUGGUCUGAGAGGACGACCAGCCACACUGGGACUGAGACACGGCCCAAACUCCUACGGGAGGCAGCAGUGGGGAAUAUUGGACAAUGGGCGCAAGCCUGAUCCAGCCAUGCCGCGUGAGUGAUGAAGGCCCUAGGGUUGUAAAGCUCUUUGUGCGGGAAGAUAAUGACGGUACCGCAAGAAUAAG